rnacentral:lncRNA from 1 species
AAUUUAAAACCCAAUUUAUCCAUUCAAGUCUUGAUAGGAUUCACUGAAAAAAGAAUAAUUGACAUACGCAAGUAUGUGAUGUAUAUGGAUUUAAACAGAAUCAAAUCUUUGAUCCAUGUCCAGGAGACAUUUAUAGUCUUGUAGGGAUACAGAAGAACGAAUAUAGAGUGUUAGGAAAAUGCUUAUAAGAAUAAGUAUAAAUAAAAUCAAAUUAGGAAUAAAUGUAGAAGCAAGGCAGCAUAAGAGAAAAUUGGUAGAAGUCAAUCAUGGUUUAUGGAAGAUGGUGCAUAUUCAAGAAGAAAUAUGGGACUAUGUUGUCAAAUAAUGGCUUUUUCCCCUUCAUAUCUAUUAUAGCAGUAUGUAAAAAAAUAUGAAAUAAAACACAUUUUUUUUCUUGGAUUUU